rnacentral:misc_RNA from 1 species
UAUCGAACAGUUAGAAAGGGGAAGAUCGAAGGAGUGGAUGGAUGAUGCUUGGGACAGUUGCUGGCGGAUUUGCAUCUGCAUCUGCAUGUGCACGUUCUGUCAUUCUACUUUUUCUGUCGGCCCUUUUCGAUUUCAAUUCACACCUGUGCACCCAUCGUAGGUCUUCGAAAGAAGAUCUAUGUCUUUUAUAACACUGCUUUGUAUGGCCAUAGAAUGUAAAAAUCUAUUACAACUUUCAGCAAUGGAUCUCUUGGUUCUCGCAUCGAUGAAGAACGCAGCGAAUUGCGAUAAGUAAUGUGAAUUGCAGAUUCCAGUGAAUCAUCGAAUCUUUGAACGCAUCUUGCGCUCCUUGGUAUUCCGAGGAGCAUGCCUGUUUGAGUGUCAUUUGAUUAUCAACCUUCAUUCUUUAGGGAACGAAGGCUUGGAAGUGGGGGUUGCUGGCGGCUAGGGUCGUCAGCUCUCCUUAAAAGCAUUAGCGAUCGAGUUGGGCUAUCAAGUCUUUCGACAUGCACGGCCUUUGACGUGAUAAUGAUCGUCAUGGCUGGAGUGUCUUUCCUGGACUGUGCUACAUAGAUUGCUUCUAACAGACAGAGAUCUUUGAUCUUUCACUCAAGCUUAGCUACUAGGCAGUCUUUUUCUGUUGAAGAAGAGGCUGGCGAAAACAAGCAGAGAGGGAAUGGGAUGGGAUCGAUCCUUGAUCAGCUUAGUUACUAGGCAGUCUUGACUGGCGAACACAAGCGAGAGAGAGGAACGAUAAUAAUGACUUG